rnacentral:tRNA from 1 species
GGUCUUGUAUUCACUUUGUGAUUACAGAAUGCAAUUCUGUAGGGGUAAGUUGUACUUAUCAAGGCCU